rnacentral:lncRNA from 1 species
CCAUAAGUUAACCAUGAACUCGAUAAGCCUGCCCUAAUCUGAACUAGUCCCUUAUUCAAGAGAAAGCAAGAGUCGUACGAAAUCUGAUAAAAAUAAAGAACUUGAUGCUAUCACUUGGAACCCCAAAACUAACCUUAGCGACCAAAGCACGUACACGUUUACACUGGAAAUUUCAAAGAAUUGAAUCAACUCCAAAAAAGUUAUUCCGUCACCGACUCACCAUUUUUGGUGACCACUUUUCCAGUUGAUUCAUUUGGAAAAUUACAGUGAGGGAAUACAAUUAAGUAACAAUAUAUAUAGUAUUUGUAUAUAGACAAAGAGUAACAGAUGAUGAACUGCAUCGCAAUACAAUUAAGUAACAAGAUAUAUACCAUUUAUAUAUAGACGAAGAGUAAAAGAUGAUGAACUGCAUGGCAAUACAAUUAACUAACAAUGUAGGCCUAUAUAGCAUUUGUAUAUUAGGGCAAGAGUGACCAGACAUUGAACUGGUAGUACAAUUAAGUAUGUUUCAUAAAUUUCAUGUAGUUUUAAAGCAGUUACUGUUAAAAUUUUGAGACGUGUACAAUAUAUAUAGCUAGCACAUUGCAGCUUGCAUAUUCAUAAAUUUCAUGUAGUUUUAAAAGCAGUUAAACUGUUAGAAUUUUGAGAAGUGUAUAACGAUAAAUAACUAGCACUCACGGCCGCACAGAGAAAUUCGGGGGCCCGGGGCAAAUUUUUAAUUCAGGGCCCCUAUUUAGGGGGAGUAAAAAAAUUUUCUCAGACAUAUCCAAAAAAAA